GAGGCAAAUGUCUCGUCGUUCGGAGAAGACGUAGCGUGUGUUACAAUCUCAACAAUGACAAUAACGAUCUAACAUGGGAUCUACAAAAAAUAUAAAAAUUCGAAUUUUCGUUGAUCGAUCAUUUAUUGAGCGCUCAAAAUUAAUCUGACCCGGGUGCUACAGGCUACUGCUUUGUCUCUCUCGUCCUCGGCAUAGCAUAAUCGCUCGAGGUAAAGUUAGCAGAGAAGAAGAAAGCUGUGUAGCGAAUCUCGUUCACGGACAGCACUGGAUUAAUGAUUCUAUCUCAUCAAAUUAUCCCAUCCCUCUUUUUUUUCUUACGAUAUAGGUCGAAUGAUUUUUAUAAGAUGGUAUCGAUGUAACAAUUAAUAUUACUCUGUCUUCUUGUUUAGAACUUCUUUUAAUCGACAGGAACGUGAAUAAACAUGCAUUACAUGUAUACAGCUUUGAGUGAUCGGUGUCUUAUGAUAACAUUGUCAAAUAAAUGAAGAACGAAGGACAUGAAUCGCUUGAAAAUUUGAAUCGAUUGACUAGAAACAGACAUGCAAGAAAGUAAUAAAAUAACACUUGAUCGCUAUUAUCAUCGUAAAAUUAUAACUUUUUGUAAGGCAUUAUAUCUAUAUAUAUAUAUAUAUAUAUUAAAAUAUUUCUUUUUAAAUUUAUGAUAUUUUUUUUAGAUUAAACAAUAUAUGUUUAUUAUCAAAUUAAGUAAUUAUCAAUUCGAAAGAUCCUACAGAUUCUUCUAAGGCAAAGACUACAAUCGAUUAGAAUGCACGCUUAUACACCGAGAAAGCUAGCGAUUGAUUCUAUACAAAUGAAAGCAUAUG